UAUACAUGCAUGUCGAGCGAGGUUCUUCGGAACCUAGCGGGAAUGGGUGAGUAACACGUGCUUAAUCUACCCUUCAGAUUGGAAUACCCCAAUGGAAACAUUGGCUAAUGCCGGAUACGCAUGGAAUCGCAUGAUUCCGUUGUGAAAGGGGCCUCAAAGCCCCACUGAAGGAUGAGGGUGCGGAACAUUAGUUAGUUGGUAGGGUAAUGGCCUACCAAGACUAUGAUGUUUAGCCGGGUCGAGAGACUGAACGGCCACAUUGGGAUGAGAUACGGCCCAAACUCCUACGGGAGGCAGCAGUAGGGAAUAUUCCACAAUGAGCGAAAGCUUGAUGGAGCGACACAGCGUGCACGAUGAAGGUCUUCGGAUUGUAAAGUGCUGUUAUAAGGGAAGAACACUCAGAGGAGGAAAUGCCUUUGAGCUGACGGUACCUUGUCAGAAAGCGAUGGCUAAYUAUGUGCCAGCAGCCGCGGUAAUACAUAGGUCGCAAGCGUUAUCCGGAAUUAUUGGGCGUAAAGCGUUCGUAGGCUGUUUAUUAAGUCUGGAGUCAAAUCCCGGGGCUCAACCCCGGCUCGCUUUGGAUACUGAUAAACUAGAGUUGGAUAGAGGUAAGCGGAAUUCCAUGUGAAGCGGUGAAAUGCGUAGAUAUAUGGAAGAACACCAAAGGSGAAGGCAGCUUACUGGGUYUAUACUGACGCUGAGGGAGAAAGCGUGGGGAGCAAACAGGAUUAGAUACCCUGGUAGUCCACCCGUAAACGAUGAUCAUUAGUCGGUGGAGAGUUCAYUGACGCAGCUAACGCAUUAAAUGAUCCGCCUGAGUAGUAUGCUCGCAAGAGUGAAACUUAAAGGAAUUGACGGGGACCCGCACAAGCGGUGGAGCAUGUGGUUUAAUUUGAAGAUACACGGAGAACCUUACCCACUCUUGACAUCUCCGCAAAGCUA
rnacentral:rRNA from 1 species